rnacentral:rRNA from 1 species
UAAAUGACUCUCUCUCGCCGAUAGAUAUGCUCUCGCUCCGAUCGAGGAAGUACGUAAAGAAAUUCCUUGGUGGGAAUUAAUGACUCCCUCCCACCAUCCAUUCUUUCUUCGCAAGCAACCCCCGACCCCAUUCGUUAGGGGGCGGGCCCGCCUGGGCGUGCCUCUCUCG